CCACAUCUUCUUAAUCCAUUCAUCUGUCGAUGGACAUUUAGGUGGUUUCCAUGUCUUGGCUAUUGUGAAUAGUGCUUCAGUGAGCAUGGGGCAUGUAUCUUUUUCAAGGAAAGUUUUCUCUGGAUAUAUGCCCAGGAGUGGGAUUGCUGGGUCAUGUGGUAGUUCUACAUUUAGUUUUCUGAGGUGCCUCCAUACUGUUUUCCACAGUUGUACUAAUUUACAUUCCCACCAACAGUGUAGGAGGGUUCUCUUUUCUCCACACCCUCUCCAGCAUUUGUUAUUUGUAGACUUAUUAAUGAUGGCCGUUCUGACCAGUGUGCGGUGGUACCUCAUUUUGAGACAAGAGUAGCCAAGUGUUUUCAUACACUCUGCCUCCAUUUCCUUUUCUCUACUUUUCCCUUGAAUCUAUUCCAAGCAGGAUUUUGUCGUCAACAUUCUAAUGAAAUAGCUCUUGUCAGAGACACGAGAGACCUGCACUGAUCAAUUUCUCAGUUCCCAUUCUAUCCAACAUCAUUUACUAGAGUAAAUCACUUCUUCAUUCUUGAAUCCUUUCUUCGCUUCUUAGAAUAAAAGUUAAAGGUUCACAGUGGUCUCUGAGAUCCCACACAUCGUGUGCUGAACAAAUAUUCCUAACUUUUUCUCCGGCCAUUCAGCCCUCAUUCACUCUUUGGAACUAUACAGUCAUCCUUUUUAUUCCUCAAACAGGCCAAGCAAAUUUCCACAUCAGUACCUGAAAAGCUCUCCUUUAUUUUGUUCAGUUCUCUGUUCUGGUGUCAAUUCAUCAGUGGGGGUAUCCCUGACCUUCCUGUGUAGCAACACAAUAGCAAAACUUCCCACUCCAAGACUUUCUAACUCCCAGAAUUUCUCACCCUCUUAUUUUCUCUAUUAUGCUUAUCUCCAUCUGUAGUUACCUUGCUUAAUUUUAUUGACCCUUCCCUAUUAGAAUGGAUCAGGGAGUUCCCGUCGUGGCUCAGCAGAAACGAAUUUGGCUAGCAUCCAUGAGGACGAAGGUUCGAUCCCUGGCCUCUCUCAGUGGGUUAAGAAUCUGGCGUUGCUGUGAGCUGUGGUAUAGUUUGCAGAUGUGGCUCGGAUCUAGUGUUGCUGUGGCAUAGGCCAGCAGCUACAGCUCCAAUUAGACCCCUAGCCUGGGCACCUCCAUAUGACAGGGGCAUGGCCCUCAAAAGGAUUAGGGAUCAUUUAGAGAUGCAUCCCCAUUGCCUUUGGCUGGAAGGAAGAACCAACAUUAUUAUAUGUUUUAAUAUGUUGUUUCUAUUUUGCAGAAUGUACUGUGAUGUUUUUGCUUGUUCAUAAGAUUCGUUAAAUUUAGAAACCCUUUUUUUUUUUUUUUUAAAUAGUUUCUAGGAUUUGACUAGGACUAACCAGGAAGUAUUUCAGCACACUAAGAAAUGCCAACCUGGGAGUUUCUGUCAUGGCUCAGCGGAAAAAAAUCCAGCUAGGACCAUGAAGUUGCAGGUUUGAUCCCUGGCCUGGCUCAGAGGGCUAAGGAUCCAGAGUUGCCAUGGGCUGUGGUGUUGGUUGCAGACAUGGCUCAGAUCUUAAGUUGCUGUGGCGUAGGCCGGCAGCUAUAGCUCCAAUUGGAAUCCUAGCCUGGGAACCUCCAUAUGCUGCAGGUGUGGCCCUAAAAAGCAAAAACAAAAAGUGCCACUUACUAGCUACAUGGCCUAAGGCAAAAUGUCCCAAUCUCUCUCUAAAACAUUAGUUACCCUGUCUUUAAAGUGGGAAAAGCAAUAAUACUUACUUCCAUGGUUGCUAUGAACAUGUGAUAUACAUAGAGCACUUGUGUUUGUCUAGAACACAAUAGGUACCUGAUGAAUGUGGGUUAUUUUUUUUUAAAUGUCAGAUAUUUGGGUAAGAAACAAAAUAUUUCAAGCUUAAUUAUCUUUAUGCAAUAACUCAGCCAUUUUUUUAACUUGAAAGAUGCUAAAAUAUAAAGCUAAAUUUAAACCAGUUGAGAAUCAUUUAUUAAUAAAAGUAUCCUGCUUAUACUAUUUUCAUUGACAUUUAUUUUAUUUCAGUAUUUUCUUGUUUGGCCCCAUUUUCUUAAAGAAUGGGUAUAAUUUUGGUGCAUCAUGUAGGCCAUUUUAUGCAACUUUUUUUUACUGUAGUAUAUUUCAUUUACAAUGUUGUGUUAGUUUCAGUUUCAUAUAUACAAAAGUGAUUCAGUUUUACAUGCAUAUAUUUUUUUCAGAUUCUUUUCACUUAUAAAUUAUUACAAAAUAUUGAGUAUAGUUACCUGCGUUGUACAGUAGGUCCUUGUUACUUAUCUAUUUUAUAUAUAGUAGUGUAUAUAUUUUAAUCCCAAACUCCUAAUCUAUCCCUCCCCCACUUUCCUCUUUGGCAAUUAAUUGUAAGUUGUUUUCUAUUUCUUUGGGUCUAUUUCUAUUUUGUAUAUAAGUUCACUUGAAUCAUAUUUUUUUAGAUUCCACAUCUAAGCAAUAGCAUGUGAUAUUCGUCUUUCACUGUCUAACUUAGUAUGAUAACCUCUAGGUCCAUCAGUGUUGCUUCAAAUGGUAUUCUUUUAUUCUUUUUUAUGGCUGAGUAAUAUUCCAUUGUGUAUAUGUACCACAUCUUCUUUAUCCAUUCAUCUGUCAAUGGACAUUUAAGUUGCUACCAUGUCUUGGCUAUUUAAAUAGUGCUGUAGUGAACACAGAGGUGCAUGUAUCUUUGUGAAUUAUGGUUUUCUUCAGAUAUAUGCCCAGGCGUGGGAUUGCAUGAUCAUAUAUUAGUUCUAUUUAUAGAUUUUAAGGAACUUCCAUACUGUUAUCCAUCGUGGCCACACCAAUUUAUAUUCCCACCAACAGUAUAGGAGGAUUCCCUUUUCUCCAUAUCCUCUCUGACACUUAUUAUUUAUAAACUUUUUGAUGACAGCCAUACUGACCAGUGUGAGGUGAUACCUAAUUAUAAUUUUGACUUGUAUUCCUCUAAUAAUUAAUGAUGUUGAAUACAUUUUCAUGUGCUUUUCGCCAUCUGUAUGUCUUUUAAAAUAAUUUUUUUAGUGUACUGGAUUUUAUAGAAUAUAUCUCUAUCUAUAAAGAUUUUAUGCAGUUUUGUCUUUUCCCUUCAAAUAUUUGUAUAUUUAUCUGUGAUAACUGUCUAUAAAAUUGAUUAAAACAAAUUAUUUAUGAUGCAAUAUUUCAUGAUUUUGUUUAUUAUUUAUAAUAGUAUUCAGAAUUGCAAAUAAGAACAGAAUCACCUGAUUAUUUUAGUAUCAUAUAGUAAGUUGAGGUAAAACCACUCUGCAAUUUAAAAAUAUAUUUGCAAUAUUGGCUAGAUUUUACCAAUUUCCCAAUUUUUCUAAAAUUAUUAUAUAUAAUUUACAUAAUACAAAAACUUACUUUGCUUUUUAGAUUAUUUCAAAUGAAAAAAGUGAAAUAAAGUAGUAAAUCACAUGCCCAUUUUAGAAUGCGUAAGGAAUAUGAUAUAAAUAUUAGCUUUUAUUAGCCAGUGGGGCCAGGACAACAUGUUGCUAUAGGAACGAUAGGGUAUUACAUAUAUUUAGGAUAAAUGAAUGUUUUAAAGAAAUAUUUCCUCAUUGUAAUUAGAACAGUUUUAGAUUUUUCUCAACUUCUGGUUUACAUGUUUUGAUAUUUCCUGUUUACUUUCUGUCUUUGAAAAUGGAAAAAAAAAUAUUUAAGAAGAUGAUUCCAUUCUCUCAUCAGAAUUAUCUCUUGUCUGUCACCUUCUUUACCUUGCAAAUCUUAUUUGUCAGGCUGGCAACAGUGACAGUGACCAACAGUGCCCAUGAUAUCAAGCCCAAAUACUUCGUUGGUAAACCAUCAAACCCAAAUACUUUGUUGUAGUCUUUCUUGAAUUCUUAGUGAUACUGUGAGAUCGGAUUAGAUAAAUUUCACUUUAUUUCUUCAAGUAAAGAAAUUGUAUGCCUAGUAGAGUACGUAGCACUUAGUGGGUGAACCAAAUAACCUGGAUGUAAAACCUGACUGCACUUAGUGCUAAUGGUACAACUCUGGGAAAUUGACUGAGUAUCUCCUGACUUCUGUUUUCUUUUGCAUAAAAUGAGGAUGACACCUCCUCCUACAGUUAUAAUAAUUGUAGAAUAAGUGCAGAAUAAAUGAGGAUAAAUGAGAUUAUAGCUUUUAAGGAUUUAGCACAAGGAUGGAGCCCAGUAAACUUUAAAAAGCUAUACAUUGUUCCUUUUUUUUAGUUGUUAUUUCUCCCAACACACUUUUUUUCCCCACUGUAUAGCAUGGAGACCCAGUUGAAUAUACAUGUACACAUAAUUUUUUUCUCCCAUUUUCGUGGUCCAUUGUAAGUAUCUAGACAUAGUUCUCAGUGCUAUGCAGCAGGAUCUCAUUGUUAGUUCAUUCCAAAACAAUAGUUUGCAUCUGUUAACCCCAAGCUCCCAAUCCCUUUCACUGCCUCCAGCUCCCCCCAGGGAAAUCACAAGCCUAUUCUCCAAGUCCAUGAUUUUCUUUUCUGUGGAAAGGUUCAUUUGUGCUGUAUAUAAGAUACCAGACAUGAGUGAUAUCAUAUAGUAUUUGUCUUUUUCUUUCUCACUUAUUUCACUUAGUAUGAGAGUCUUUAGUUCCAUGUUGCUGCAAAUAGCAUUAUUUUGUUCUUUUUUAUGGCUGAGUAGUAUUCCAUUGUGUAUAUAUACCACAUCUUCCUAAUCCAAUCAUCUGUGGAUGGACAUUUGGGUUGUUUCCAUGUCUUGGCUAUUGUGAAUAGUGUUGCAAUGAACACACGGGUGCAUGCGUCUUUUUUAAGGAAAGUUUUGUCCGGAUAUAUGCCCAAGAAUGGGGUUGUUGGGUCAUAUGGUAGUUUUAUAUAUAGUUUUCUAAGGUACCUCCAUACUGUUUUGU
rnacentral:lncRNA from 1 species